GAUGAACGCUGGCGGCGUGCUUAACACAUGCAAGUCGAACGAUGAACCGGGUGCUUGCACUCGGGGAUUAGUGGCGAACGGGUGAGUAACACGUGAGCAACCUGCCCCUGACUCUGGGAUAAGCGCUGGAAACGGCGUCUAAUACUGGAUAUGUCCCGUCACCGCAUGGUGUGCGGGUGGAAAGAUUUUUCGGUUGGGGAUGGGCUCGCGGCCUAUCAGCUUGUUGGUGAGGUAAUGGCUCACCAAGGCGUCGACGGGUAGCCGGCCUGAGGGGGUGACCGGCCACACUGGGACUGCGACACGGCGCAGACUUCUACGGGAGGGAGAAGUGGGGAAUAUUGCACAAUGGGCGGGAGCCUGAUGCAGCAACGCCGCGUGAGGGAUGAGGGGCUUCGGGUUGUAAACCUCUUUUAGCAGGGAAGAAGCGAGAGUGACGGUACCUGCAGAAAAAGCACCGGCUAACUACGUGCCAGCAGCCGCCGUAA
rnacentral:rRNA from 1 species